rnacentral:misc_RNA from 1 species
AAAAUGCGAUACUUGGUGUGAAUUGCAGAAUCCCGUGAACCAUCGAGUUUUGAACGCAAGUUGCGCCCGAAGCCAUCCGGCUGAGGGCACGCCUGCCUGGGCGUCACGCAUCGCGUCGCUCCCCACCAUACCUCCCCAACGGGUUGGCAUGGUGUUGGGGGCGGAUAAUGGCCUCCCGUGCUUGUGUUUCGGUUGGCCUAAAUAGGAGUUCCCUUCGGCGGACACACGACUAGUGGUGGUUGAAUAGACCCUCGUCUUUUGUUGCGUGUCGUGAGCUGUAAGGGUAGCCCUCAUCAAAGACCCCAUUGUAUCGUCUUCGGAUGAUGCUUCGACCGCGACCCCAGGUCAGGCGGGACUACCCGCUGAGUUUAAGC